rnacentral:rRNA from 1 species
UACGUAGGGGGCAAGCGUUGUCCGGAUUUAUUGGGCGUAAAGAGCGUGUAGGCGGUUUGGUAGGUCCGCUGUGAAAACUCGAGGCUCAACCUCGAGACGCCGGUGGAAACCAUCAGACUAGAGUCCGGAAGAGGAGAGUGGAAUUCCUGGUGUAGCGGUGAAAUGCGCAGAUAUCAGGAGGAACACCCGUGGCGAAAGCGGCUCUCUGGGACGGUACUGACGCUGAGACGCGAAAGCGUGGGGAGCGAACAGG